AUUGAACGCUGGCGGCAUGCCUUACACAUGCAAGUCGAACGGCAGCACGGGAGCAAUUCUGGUGGCGAGUGGCGAACGGGUGAGUAAUAUAUCGGAACGUGCCCAGUCGUGGGGAUAACGUAGCGAAAGCUACGCUAAUACCGCAUACGAUCUAUGGAUGAAAGCGGGGGAUCGCAAGACCUCGCGCGAUUGGAGCGGCCGAUAUCAGAUUAGGUAGUUGGUGAGGUAAAGGCUCACCAAGCCGACGAUCUGUAGCUGGUCUGAGAGGACGACCAGCCACACUGGGACUGAGACACGGCCCAGACUCCUACGGAGGCAGCAGUGGGGAAUUUUGGGACAAUGGGCGCAAGCCUGAUCCAGCAAUGCCGCGUGCAGGAUGAAGGCCUCGGUUGGUUAAACGUUAGUACGUUUU
rnacentral:rRNA from 1 species